rnacentral:rRNA from 1 species
AUUGAACGCUGGCGGCAGGCCUAACACAUGCAAGUCGAACGAGUGGCGGACGGGUGAGUAAUGUCUGGGAAACUGCCUGCUGGAGGGGGAUCACUACUGGAAACGGUAGCUAAUACCGCAUACCAUCAGAUGUGCCCAGAUGGGAUUAGCUAGUUGGUGGGGUAACGGCUCACCAAGGCGACGAUCCCUAGCUGGUCGGAGAGGAUGACCAGCCACACUGGAACGGAGACACGGUCAAGAUCCCUACGGGAGGCAUCAGUGGGGAAUAUUGCACAAUGGGCGCAAGCCGGAUGCAGCCAUGCCGCGUGUAUGAAGAAGGCGUUCGGGUUGUAAAGUACUUUCUGCGGGGAGGCGUUACCCGCAGAAGAAGCACCGGCUAACUCCGUGCCAGCAGCCGCGGUAAUUC